CUUGCAAAAAUACUAAUAUAAUGCAAAAUAAAGAGAAACAAUUACAAUUUAACACAUCAUUCUUAUGUUUAUUAACCCACUUCUCACCUUAAAUCGUCUCCUAUGUUUCAUUCUCUACCCCCUCUCAAUCUCUACUGCGAAAACUGAAGAAACAUCACUGCCACCGGAAGCCCUCUCUUUUUCUUUUUCCUAAAAUUCUAACCCAUGCCAGAAAUCAAUGUGUUGUCGUCGUUCCUCUUUGUAGUAGCAACACGCAACCACCAAAAAAAUGAUCAACGAUGAGACAAUGAUAUUGGUUGUACAAUGGUUUUUGUUCAAAAUCUUGACAAUAAAGUCCCAAUUCCCACAUUUUGGUUCAAAUCCGGUGGCGGUGCCAAUGAGAGAUUAGAUCACGACUAAAAUCAAAGGUGGUGUAAAUGUCAUCUAGGUUUGAAAUUCAUUGGGUUGAAUUUGAAUCUAGUGUUAGAGGAAGAAUUAGGAUCGGAUAGGUUAGAGUGAAAGUUACUCACCACUCCAAAUCUCCAUUACCUUAAAUGCGGGUAGAUUAAGUUCGAAGGGAGUUUUGGAUGGACUAAUUAAGGAGUCCACCAUUGAUGACAAAAGGAGCUUAUGGAUUUUGAUGCAGCUGCAUUUGACAUGAAGAUUUGGGUUAGAAAUUUAUCAAGGUUUGGACCAGUUUCCGGAAUCAUGUAAUAUCUGUAAUUUUGUGGUGUUUCACAAUUUCAAGUACGCCUACAUCGAGGGUGAUAAAAAUUCUCUCAUCUCACAAGUACUCCGUUAUUAGAAUCUUUAAAGCGUUGGUAAUUUUUUUUUCUAGUCA